GUGUCAGCCGCCGCGGUAAUACGGAGGGUGCGAGCGUUGUCCGGAAUCAUUGGGCGUAAAGGGCGCGUAGGUGGCCCGGUCAGUUCGUGGUGAAAGCGCGGGGCUCAACCCUGCGUCGGCCAUGAAUACUGCCGCGGCUGGAGCACUGUAGAGGCAGGCGGAAUUCCGGGUGUAGCGGUGGAAUGCGUAGAGAUCCGGAAGAACACCGGUGGCGAAGGCGGCCUGCUGGGCAGUUGCUGACACUGAGGCGCGACAGCGUGGGGAGCAAACAGGAUUAGAUACCCUGGUAGUCCACGCCGUAAACGAUGGGCACUAGGCGCUUGGGGGAGCGACCCCCCGAGGGCCGGCGCUAACGCAUUAAGUGCCCCGCCUGGGGAGUACGGCCGCAAGGCUGAA
rnacentral:rRNA from 1 species